UUUCACAGAGCCAGUAAAGAAGUGGCUAAUAGGAUCGUUAUGAUGUCGGAUGCCAGAUCCACCUAAACUUUCAUCUAGAGCAGUGUUUCUUGGUCCUUGAGUACCCCCUCCUAGAAAGUUUCAUAUGACUCCUUAUUUAAAACAUUUGAUUCAACUCAACAGCUUGUUAGGGAGACCUGUUAACCAUUCUGGAAGGAGGCUGAUUGGUUGUUUUAAAUAAGGAGACAUCUACAACUUUCUGGAAGGGGUACUUGAGAACCAGGAUUGGGAAGGACUGAUCAUGACGAAGAUGGAAAGAUCCUAUUUCAUCAAAGCUAAAGAAGCAGGAGACUUGGGACACAAGCACAAGCUCACUCCAGACAUGGUUUCUGGCUUUCAGGUCUGUAUAACAUUAUACAAAAUCAUUAAUUGUAUCUGUAGAGCUUAGUGGUAAAACAUUGCAUUAGCAGUGCAAAAGGACAAGCGUUCGAACCCAGGGAACACACAUGGUGAUAAAAAUGUAUACCUUAUAAUGCACCAGAGGCCAUUUUGGAUAAGCAUCCGCCAAAUGUGUAAAUGUAACUAGUCAAAGCCAGAUCAUUUCAGUCCUAACCUGUUGUUGUCACAUCAAGUUUUCAAUCCAUACAUUUUUCUUGGAAAUUGAGCCCUCUCCCAUCAGAGCUAUGAGAACACACACAAUUCUGGUCUUAUUGGCCAUCACCACUUUACAGUUAAUGAUGAGAACUCCUUCACAAAGACCAUUAAAGAUCACAUAACACACACGAUUUCUGCCACUCUCAUGUUAAUCUUGGUUAUCUAUAGAGUAGUAUUUCUUCCUUCAUAUUUCCAAAGAGUCUUUCGUGUUGUCAGAUUCAUAAAAGACAGAACACCUUUUCCAGUUUUUUUUUUUUCCGGAAAAGAUGAUCUCUUGAAGGCGUACAGUGGGCGGAGCUAAAGAGUUAGGAGUACAAACAGCUUUUGAAUUCUAAUCCAACAGCUGAUACAUCAAAGUAAAUAAAGCUUACAUAAAAACUGUUUUUUACAUAACCUUGGCUUACAGUCAGAUGCAGCCAUUGGCCCAGAAAUACUCUUGUCACAUGCUCAAUGGCUUUUUUGACAUUAUGCAUUAGUUUAGCCAGAGGAUUACAACUUUUAAACGGUGUCAAUAAGUCAGAAUGCAUGAAAUGGCAUUAAACCCCUCCUUUAAGGACACUAUCUGGAAUGACCUCUCAAACAGAUACCAGGUGUUCAGUGUAAUCAUAUUCUCACUUGUUUUUAAUUAGGAUUAUUUAGGGACUCAUACGAUGUUUUAGUCUUACUUGCAGGUUUACAGCGUCAGACAGUUUUUGGAGGAGUGCACAGCGUUGGAUGCCAGAUUCAAGUCAAAAGUGUCAGAUGAAGUGUGGUACAGACUGGAGGAGGAGCUGAUAUAAAUGAACAGGCUCAGGGCCAGCAGAUGAAUCAGGGGCUUAAAGAGAGAGCAGAAGACCAAGAUGACUGCAUAUCUGAUGAAGACAUCUGUGCAUCUGCCAGUGAAACAGUGAAGAGGCCAAAGCUCUCUGCCCUCGAGGAGCUGUUUGCUGUAGAGGACAUAGAAAUAAAGUAAGAAAAGAGACCACCAGCACUGAUAAGGCACUACAGAUUACUUCCAUCUCCUCAGUCCUCAGCGAGUCCAGUAACCCUGGUGGUGUGACAUGAAGGACACGGCCAAUGCUUUUUUUGAUUUGGCUACAGGGUAUCUCUGUGUGCAAGCAUCAUCCACACCCUCAGAGCGUGCAUUUUCUACUGCAUUGAAAAUGUUUUAAUGAUACCUUGCCCUAUAUCAGUGUUUCUCAAACUUUUUCAGCCCAAGGACCACUUUAUCUUCCGAUUUUUUUCUGAGGACCACCUAACAGAAUCCCACUCUAACACACCUCCAAAAAAACAACAAAAUAGGAAGGAUAAGCUAAAUUUAAGUUUAAUAUGCAACUGUUUCAAGUCAAAAACAAAUUUUUUAAACACAAGUGCAAUGAUAUGUUCAGAAAUUAUUAUAUGAAUUUUAUUUCAUUAGAAAAAGUAAAUGUGAAAUGAGUUGCAGCUUAAUAUGAACAACAAACUGCACAUGUGAAAAAAACUGCAA